AUGACUUGAAAGGUAUAUGAUGAGAAUGAAUUAGAAGCUUCCUAACAAUAGCAUAAAAUGUGUAGAAAGGAAGGAACCUUAACCAUGUAAGCAGAUAGAAAUGAAGUUUUUGUUC